rnacentral:rRNA from 1 species
AUUGAACGCUGGCGGCAGGCCUAACACAUGCAAGUCGAGCGAGCGGCGAACGGGGGAGUAAGGCAUGGGGAACUGCCAGAGCGAGGGGGAUCACGACUGGAAACGGUAGCCAAUACCGCAUAGUAACGGAUGAACCCAUAUGGUAUAAGCUAGUAGGUGGGGUAAUGGCUCACCUAGGCGACGAUCCCUAGCUGGUCUGAGAGGAUGACCAGCGACACUGGAACGGAGACACGGUCCAGACUCCUCCGUGAGGCAGCAGUAGCGAAUAUUGCACAAUGGGCGCAAGCCUGAUGCAGCCAUGCCGCGUGUAGUAAGAAGGCCUUCGGUUUGGAAAGUACUUUCAGCGGGGAGGCGUUACCCGCAGAAGAAGCACCGGCUAACUCCGUGCCAGCAGCCGCGGUAAUAC